GACGAACGCUGGCGGCGUGCUUAACACAUGCAAUUCGAACGAUGAACCCGGAUCUUGCUCCGGUGGAUUAGUGGCCAACGGGUGAGUAACACGUGAGUAACCUGCCCUUUACUUGGGGAUAACUGCGGGAAACUGUAGCUAAUACCGGAUACGACCAUCGGCGGCAUCGCCAGGGGGUGUAAAGACUUUCGGUCAAGGAUGGACUCGCGGCCUAUCAGCUAGUUGGGGAGAUAACUGCUCACCAAGGCGACGAAGGGUAGCCGGCCCUGAGAGGGUGACCGGCCACACUGGGACUGAGACACGGCCCAGACUCCUACGGGAGGCAGCAGUGGGGAAUAUUGCACAAUGGGCGCAAGCCUGAUGCAGCAACGCCGCGUGAGGGAUGACGGCCUUCGGGUUGUAAACCUCUUUUAGUAGGGAAGAAGCGAAAGUGACGGUACCUGCAGAAAAAGCACCGGCUAACUACGUGCCAGCCGCCGCAGUAA
rnacentral:rRNA from 1 species